UAUGUGCUUAACAUUUUGAAAAAUGUGAACAGCAAAAACAGUUCAUCAGAAUUUCAAACGUCAAAAGUACUUAUUUCUGGAAAUCAGUUAAUCUGCAUCCUGAUUUUCUGCUGUUUCAUCAGUCACUAUGCAGUGUGUUUGGACAACGGAAGCAUUCUUGAAUAAGACUGCCUCAGUUUAUAUCGAAGAUGUAUUGCUUGUCAUGCCUGGUGACCAACUUUACAGGACUAUGUUCAAAUUUAGAUUACAUACCUAGUAUGAAAGAGAUCAAGUAUAUUACCGAAAUUGGCUAUCUCAGUUCGCGAAUUCCGAACUCAUCCUCAGUCUGUCAUUCUGAUGCAGGGGUCCUGAAAGAAGUUGGAACGUUUUGAACCGUCUCAGCCAAUAAGUAUUAGAAAAUGGUAGGCGCUUAAUGAUGAGUUUCUUCGCUGCCCGUCAACUUACCAUCCAAGCAAGCACUGUCUGUCAAACCAUUAGCCGAAUGUAAUUAAUUCCAGUAGUUCACCAAAACAAGAGGUUAAGAAUCGUACUGAAUCAAAAGAGGUAUCUAGUCGAACCAAAUUUCAUAAUGAUAACGGUUGGAAGCCCGAAGAAAUUUUUGAAAAAUGCCUCCUGCCCAUUACCUUCAGUCGUUGCUGCUGCCUGAAAACAAAGUAUUAAAAUUUAUAUAAAUUGAAGUGCAUAUCUGGGCUCCCUUCUUUUCUGUGGCCCCGUUUCCCUUAAAUUUUUAAUAAGCCCGUAGGGGGUCAUGCCCCUACUGUGAUCAGCAGUAAACGGUUGUGAGUGCGCUGUCCGGAAAGGGGACGUGGGGGUCCCCAUGGUUCGAUGAUAUCAUUGGAGGGCUGUGGGGCUGCCCAAAAAUCCGAAUUAACGGUUAAUCGCUCACGUAAAAGCUUGUCCGCGACCUUCGCUCUUCUUCCGGCUUCUCUUAGCCACGCACCGGGUAAUCUCCCCGGUGAGUCAACUGAGGUAGUGUCUCCCCCUACCUUGGUUGACAGCAACUUUGAAAUCGGCUAUUUUGCCCUUUCAAAGUUGCAAGUCUUUAAA